rnacentral:lncRNA from 1 species
GAGAAGAGAGGGGGCAAGGAGCUGUGGCGACCCCUGUGAGGACCCCAGCAACGCCCCGCCGCCGGCCCGCCCGCCGCAGCCCCGAGACCGGGUUCUCCUGGAAGCUUCUCCCUGGAGGAGCCUUGAGUGACGGCAAAUGAAAAUUUCAAAAAUGUUUCAAAUUCCUGUGGAAAAUCUUGACAACAUCAGAAAGGUGCGAAAAAAGGUGAAAGGUAUUCUUGUGGAUAUUGGGCUUGACAGCUGCAAGGAGUUACUGAAGGUAAGAGGACAUAAGUAGCCAACUGAAAUAUGGAGGUGAGAUUUGAACUGGGGUUUUCGAAAAGUGGGUGAGAUUCCUCAAAAUGGAAAUUGCUAUUAUACUUCAGAUGACUGUGGGAAAGCCUCAUUAGUACUUAUUUAUGUCUUUAUGACAUAAAGUGAGCUAUGUAAGCUGUUCAGGUUUUUAAGCUACUUUAAGGAGGGGAUUUUUCUAGUCAUUAGUUAUUAAAAAAUUGUUUUUGAUGUUUGAGAGAAAUGUGAUUUAUUUUUUAUUUUAGCAAAAGAAAACUAACUUAAUUUCCCAGUAUUGUUAGAG